rnacentral:rRNA from 1 species
CGGACGGGUGAGUAACGCGUGGGUAACCUGCCCUGUACAGGGGGAUGACAGUCAGAAAUGACUGCUAAUACCGCAUAAGACCACAGCACCGCAUGGUGCAGGGGUAAAAACUCCGGUGGUACAGGAUGGACCCGCGUCUGAUUAGCUGGUUGGUGAGGUAACGGCUCACCAAGGCGACGAUCAGUAGCCGGCUUGAGAGAGUGAACGGCCACAUUGGGACUGAGACACGGCCCAAACUCCUACGGGAGGCAGCAUG